rnacentral:pre_miRNA from 1 species
UGGGGACCACCCUGUGUUUACUCUGUAUUUCGACCAGUGAACACAGCUGGUGGUAUCUCAGU